rnacentral:rRNA from 1 species
CNNGNUACGAAUUCGCCCUUAGAGUUUGAUCAUGGCUCAGGAUGAACGCUAGCGACAGGCCUAACACAUGCCAAGUCGAGGGGCAUCGGGACGUAGCAAUACGUUGCCGGCGACCGGCGGAUGGGUGAGUAACGCGUAUGCAACCUACCCGUAGCAGGGGGAUAGCCCGUUGAAAGACGGAUUAAUACCCCGUAACACAGGGGCUCCGCAUGGAGAUUAUUGUUAAAGGGUCAUUUCUUUUUCAGGGAUGGUCCGGCUGCGGAUGGGCAUGCGUUCCAUUAGGUAGUUGGUGUAGGUAACUGCUCACCAAGCCGACGAUGGAUAGGGGAACUGAGAGGUUGGUCCCCCACACUGGUACUGAGACACGGACCAGACUCCUACGGGAGGCAGCAGUGAGGAAUUUUGGUCAAUGGACGCAAGUCUGAACCAGCCAUGUCGCGUGAAGGAGGACGGCCCUAAGGGUUGUAAACUUCUUUUGCAGUGGAAUAAAGUUUGCCACGUGUUGGCGAUUUGCAAGUACGCUGCGAAUAAGGAUCGGUUAACUCCGUGCCAGCAGCCGCGGUAAUACGGAGGAUCCAGGCGUUAUCCGGAUUUAUUGGGUUUAAAGGGUGCGCAGGCGGGGAAUUAGGUCGGCGGUGAAAUUUCGGGGCUCAACCUCGACAGUGCCGUUGAAACCGUUUCUCUUGAGUGCGGAUGGGGUAGGCGGAAUUUGUGGUGUAGCGGUGAAAUGCGUAGAUAUCACAAGGAACACCGAUUGCGGAGGCAGCUUACUAAACCGUUACUGACGCUCAUGCACGAAGGCGUGGGGAUCAAACAGGAUUAGAUACCCUGGUAGUCCACGCAGUAAACG